UGGUGGAGUGAUUUGUCUGCUUAAUUGCGAUAACGAACGAGACCUUAACCUGCUAAAUAGUUAGGCUUACCUUCUGGUAGGUCGCCAACUUCUUAGAGGGACUAUCGGAGCUAAUUCGAUGGAAGUUUGAGGCAAUAACA
rnacentral:rRNA from 1 species